rnacentral:lncRNA from 1 species
ACAUGUUAUUAAAAUUGAGCAAGUAAUAGGUGAUAUAGAAUACGCAAAUGAAAAUAGUGUUAGUGGGGAGUAACCUCCUCCAACCAGGCUGCAAGACCUCGGGUUAUAAGAUCUUCGAGGAAGCUAGUAUCAUCUAUUAAUCCUAACUUUGAGUAUGUCACUCUUGUCAAAGACGGAUAGCAAGAAAAGUUUCCAAGAAGUUCAAACUUAUAAGGAAAAAGGUUAGUGAAUGAGUGCCAUGUAGGAAGAAAUGAAUUCAUUAAAAAAGAUUCAC